rfam:Triticum aestivum genome assembly, contig: Triticum_aestivum_CS42_TGACv1_scaffold_427532_5BS
GUAGUAUUCCCUACAUCCCAAAAUUCUUGUCCUACAUUUGUUUAGAUACGGAUGUAUCUAACACUAAAAUGUAACUAGAUACAUCCGUAUUUAGACAAAUUUAAGACAAGAAUUUUGGGACGGAGGGAGUACAAA